rnacentral:rRNA from 1 species
GAUGAACGCUGGCGGCGUGCCUAAUACAUGCAAGUCGAGCGAACGGACGAGAAGCUUGCUUCUCUGAUGUUAGCGGCGGACGGGUGAGUAACACGUGGAUAACCUACCUAUAAGACUGGGAUAACUUCGGGAAACCGGAGAUAAUACCGGAUGAUAUUUUGAACCGCAUGGUUCAAAAGAGCAAGACGGUCUUGCUGUCACUUAUAGAUGGAUCCGCGCUGCAUUAGCUAGUUGGUAAGGUAACGGCUUACCAAGGCAACGAUGCAUAGCCGACCUGAGAGGGUGAUCGGCCACACUGGAACUGAGACACGGUCCAGACUCCUACGGGAGGCAGCAGUAGGGAAUCUUCGGCAAUGGGCGAAAGCCUGACGGAGCAACGCCGCGUGAGUGAUGAAGGUCUUCGGAUCGUAAAACUCUGUUAUUAGGGAAGAACAUAUGUGUAAGUAACUGUGCACAUCUUGACGGUACCUAAUCAGAAAGCCACGGCUAACUACGUG